AACAAAAACAUGUCCUUUUGUUUGUUUAUUUAAGGUUUGACCUGCCCACUGAAUUUUUGUUUUAAAUGGCCGCAGUAAUUUGACUGUGCAAAGGUAGCAUAAUCAUUAGUUUUUUAAUUGAAAGCUUGUAUGAAAGGUUGGACGAAAUAUAAUCUGUCUUUAUUUAAUUUAUUAUAGAAUUUAAUUUUUAAGUUAAAAAGCUUAAAUAUCAAUAAAAGACGAGAAGACCCUAUAAAUCUUUAUAUUAUUAUAUAAUUAUUAUAAUGAGGAUUUUUUUUUGUUUAUAAUUAUAUAUAUUAUUUUAUUGGGGUAAUGGGAUGAUUAAAAUAAUUCAUUUUGGUUUUUUACAUUUAUUUAUGGUUUUGAGAUCCAAAUUUUUUUGAUUAUAAGAUUAAGUUACUUUAGGGAUAACAGCGUAAUUUUUUUAAAGAGUUCAUAUCGAUAAAAAAGUUUGCGACCUCGAUGUU
rnacentral:rRNA from 1 species